rnacentral:rRNA from 1 species
UACAGAGGGUGCGAGCGUUAAUCGGAAUUACUGGGCGUAAAGCGCGCGUAGGCGGCUUUUCAAGUCGAUUGUGAAAUCCCCGGGCUUAACCUGGGAACUGCAGUCGAGACUGUCUAGCUAGAGUAUGGGAGAGGGAAGUGGAAUUUCAGGUGUAGCGGUGAAAUGCGUAGAUAUCUGAAGGAACAUCAGUGGCGAAAGCGACUUCCUGGACCAAUACUGACGCUCAUGUGCGAAAGCGUGGGGAGCAACAGGG